rnacentral:rRNA from 1 species
GACGAACGCUGGCGGCGUGCUUAACACAUGCAAGUCGAAUGGUGAAAGCGGAGCUUGCUCCGCUGGAUCAGUGGCGAACGGGUGAGUAACACGUGGGCAACCUGCCCCUCACUUCGGGAUAACUCCGGGAAACCGGGGCUAAUACCGGAUAUGACCUCCUUGGGCAUCCUUGGAGGUGGAAAGUUUUUCGGUGAGGGAUGGGCCCGCGGCCUAUCAGCUUGUUGGUGAGGUAGUGGCUCACCAAGGCGACGACGGGUAGCCGGCCGGAGAGGGCGACCGGCCACACUGGGACUGAGACACGGCCCAGACUCCUACGGGAGGCAGCAGUGGGGAAUAUGGCGCAAUGGGCGAAAGCCUGACGCAGCAACGCCGCGUGCGGGAUGACGGCCUUCGGGUUGUAAACCGCUUUCAGCAGGGAAGAAGCCGCAAGGUGACGGUACCUGCAGAAGAAGCACCGGCUAACUACGUGCCAGCCGCUGCCGUAA